AGGUCUGGCAAAGAGAGCCUGGUGGGAAGGCAGAGGGCUGGAAGGAAACGCUGCCGCCGCACAUCAGCAGAGACAGCGGGCUGAGGAAACAACUCCCAGGAGGUGCUGAUAUUUCCAAAGGAAGCGAUGUGGAUUGAAGCACGUUGCACUCUGCAGGGGGGACUGGCUUGUGGCAGAAGAGCUUUUCUCUGGGCUGGUGUGACAGGACAUCCGAGCCCAGACAGGAUGGAUCUAUCCAUGAAGCAGUACAACCUUCAGCAACAGUUCAAGAGACUCAAACACUUUUCUAAAGGAGGACCAGAAAUGUGGUGUUUUUUUCUGAGCAGAAACUGAGAAUCUUAUGCAAAGACAGAGACUGGGAUUUAACGAUGGUGAGAAUGUCUCCAGGACAAUUUUUAGCAUUCAGAGUCAACCACUCUGUAAAAUGAAAGCCCAGCAGCUCAAUUGUUCCAGAGCCAGCUGUGGGCACAGGGGGAGUAUGGAGAAGAAUUGGAAACUGCAGAACAUUUAUCCCAUCACUUCUUUAUACAGGGGUUAAUGUGGGAUUUCUAAACAGGAAGACUGGAAGAAUCCUAGUAGAUCAGUCAGUGGAGCAGAGUGUUGUGAACUCCAGUGCAAAGAUCCACAAGCUGCAAAUCUAUACCAAAAGGAAGACUAUGUGCAGAAUCAUGUCAGCAAAUAAGUGGAGGAGGAAGGUGGAUUUUUAAUGGAAAAUUUGGGUCUGCCAUCUGUAAGUGCACCCAUGGGAAACCCUGCAGCAUUUCUGCUUGCACGACUCCAGGCCCUGCACCGUGACAGCGUGCCCAGGACACGUCAGAGACCACUCUGCUGAGAGUGGGGAUAGCACCUGAAGUCCCAUGGAGAAGGCAGCUGCUCCUGGCUCA